CAAAUACUCCCUACGUCCGAAAAUACUUGUCAUCAAAAUGGAUAAAAAGGGAUGAAUCUAGAACUAAACUACAUCUAGAUACAUCCCCUUUUAUUCAUUUUGAUGAUAAGUAUUUCCGGACGGAGGGAGUAAUAU
rfam:Triticum aestivum genome assembly, contig: Triticum_aestivum_CS42_TGACv1_scaffold_526595_6DL